AAGAAAUUGAAGAAGACACCAGAAAGGGAAAAGAUCUCCCAUGCUCUUGGGAGCAUGAAUUCACCUCAUGCUGUAUUUCUCAAAACAUACCGCAUGUACCCUGCUGCCCAAAGCAAGUCACACGGUCAAGAUCAGAGUCAAUGUGCCAUGGAUGAAUGAAGAGAGUUGCACACUAUGUCUUACGAAGUUCCGUCUCAGGGAGUUUCAUUGCUCAGUGGGAAGAUGGAAUCUAGAAAAGAACAGCCUUGGCUCACUGUUUAAAUUCAGAGGAAGCAAAGACCAAAUUCUCUGUGCAUAUGAACUUUCAGUCCGUACCCAUAUUGCACAAUGUUCAGCAUUUUAAGAUUGAUAUAUUCGUGGGAAAAAAUAAAAUGGUAAGAAUUCUCGUUGUUAA